ensembl:lncRNA
AUGGACAGGAGCCCAGCAGCCCCAUGCCAAAGAUCCAGCCAUCACGCAUUUAGUCCACGGCGCUACCUGGCUGACCAGUGCUCGACCUCGACCUCGACCUCAACCUCGACCUCACCCCACCCCACUGCUGCACUAAUCACAGUUCAUACGCUUUUAGACCACGCGUUUAUUCUGUCAUUCAUGGUCAACGGGAGAAGGGCUUGGUUCCUCAUUACAAACCCUGACAAGUCACUGUGACGUCCUGAUUGGUCAAUUUUAUUCUUUUACAAUCUGAGCAUUUUUUUUUUUUAUGAGUGCGAAUACCAAGAUGUACAGUUGUGUUCCACUAAUAAUGCAAUUAUUCUAAUGCAAUAAAGUUGUUUUUUUUUGUACCGUCAUUUCUGCUUUGAGAAGCUCGUUGUGGUUCUAAACAGAUCUGCGCUCCUCCGUCAUAUCAGAUAUAGAGACCCCACUGUUCCCAGCGGUGCGCGCGCGGGACCGCGGGAGCGCGCCACGCCCUGUCGCGCGGGCAGGUGACACUGGCGACCCGAGGAUGGAUCCGUCCGCCGUCGUGGGGUUCGACCGGGGGGACAUUUUCGGGGAGCUGCGGGGGUCGCACAGGAACCAGACGCUGCCGCGGCUCAACUUGUCCCCGCGGACCAAGCUGCUCCUGGAGGCGCUGAUGGCGCUGAUGUGCGUGGGCGCCGUGACAGGCAAUAUCCUCGUGAUUGUUAUAGUGGCGGCAACCAAAACGUUCCACUGCGUGACGUCAAUCCUCAUCAUUAACCUGGCCAUCAGUGACCUGCUGGUGGGCAUCGGGGUCAUGCCCUUCGUGGCCGUGUCCGUCAUGAGCAGCGGCUGGGUGGACUGCACAGUUAGUACCUUAUUCGUGGCAUAUUUUACCCACUCUAUGAAAUAAAAGGUACCAGGGAGACCGCACACACACACACACACACACACACACACACAUCAGUGGAGGACUAAACUUAAUUCAGCAUGUGCAGUAGGACCCUGGACGAGUUGGCUUGUUGCGUGAUGAUGAAUCGGACGUCAAUAUAAAUGAAGAAGAUAUGUGUUCAUUUAUGCAAAUACUCAUUACAUAUUUAUACUAUGGUUUAAAAGAUUAGGGUCAUGUAGAAGUGCCAGACUUGGCUUAACCAACACAGAAAUCCUCUAGUUUCUCUCUACAUGUAUGCAGUUAUUCCGUCAUAAACAGACAUUUCCAGCUAACACAGACAUUUACGACAUGAACAAUAACUAGACAAGAUUUUUAGAGCACAAAAUUGUUCCAAUCACAAAAAAUAAUUUCUUAAUAGCUUUUGAUCUCCUGACCUGUACUUAUAUCGUCGUACGUUUGCCAAAAGCUGUGUAGGGAUCUGACAACUUUGAAAGUUGUGUUGUCUGAGCCUGACAUUUUGCUCAAGGUCCUGUCGGUACUGAGUGGGAUUUGGGAUACUGAGUGUCGUUUUUUUGGUUAUUAUUAUAAGGAAUAGGACUGUAAAUAAUGAGAAAUGUCUACACCGGACCCUGCAGGACCUGUGUGUGUAUGUGGGCUACACCUCCUCGGUGUACUGCACCGCCUCGGUGCUGACGCUGGCGGCCAUCGCGCUGGACCGGUACCACUCCAUCGUGGACUGCUUGCGCUACAGCUCGCGCUGCACGGCGUGGAGGACGGGCGGAGCCGUCG